CCCUUAGAUGUCCUGGGCCGCACGCGCGUUACACUGAUGCAUUCAACGAGCUUAUAACCUUGGCCGAGAGGCCCGGGCAAUCUUGUUAACGUGCAUCGUGAUAGGGAUAGAUUAUUGAAAUUAUUAAUCUUGAACGAGGAAUUCCUAGUAAACGCAGAUCAUCAAUCUGCAUUGAUUACGUCCCUGCCCUUUGUACACACCGCCCGUCGCACCUACCGAUUGGAUGGUCCGGUGAAGCCUCGGGAUUGUGGUUCUUGCCGCUUUAUUGUGGCGUGACCGCGAGAACUUGUCUAAACCUUAUCAUCUAGAGGAAGGAGAAGUCGUAACA
rnacentral:rRNA from 1 species